AACGAACGCUGGCGGCAUGCCUAACACAUGCAAGUCGAACGAUACCUUCGGGUCUAGUGGCGCACGGGUGCGUAACGCGUGGGAACCUGCCCUUAGGUUCGGAAUAACGCCCCGAAAGGGGUGCUAAUACCGGAUAAUGUCUUCGGACCAAAGAUUUAUCGCCUUUGGAUGGGCCCGCGUUGGAUUAGCUAGUUGGUAGGGUAAAAGCCUACCAAGGCGACGAUCCAUAGCUGGUCUGAGAGGAUGAUCAGACACACUGGGACUGAGACACGGCCCAGACUCCUACGGGAGGCAGCAGUGGGGAAUAUUGGACAAUGGGCGAAAGCCUGAUCCAGCAAUGCCGCGUGAGUGAUGAAGGCCUUAGGGUUGUAAAGCUCUUUUACCCGGGAUGAUAAUGACAGUACCGAGAGAAUAAGCUCCGGCUAACUCCGUG
rnacentral:rRNA from 1 species